rnacentral:rRNA from 1 species
UACGUAGGGGGCUAGCGUUGUCCGGAAUCAUUGGGCGUAAAGCGCGUGUAGGCGGUCCGGUAAGUCCGCUGUGAAAGUCGGGGGCUCAACCCUCGGAUGCCGGUGGAUACUGUCGGGCUUGAGUACGGAAGAGGCGAGUGGAAUUCCUGGUGUAGCGGUGAAAUGCGCAGAUAUCGGGAGGAACACCAAUUGCGAAGGCAGCUCGCUGGGACGUUACUGACGCUGAGGAACGAAAGCUAGGGUAGCGAACGGG